AAUAGAUACCCGGGUAGUCCACGCCAUAAACGAUGAGUGCUAAGUGUUAGGGGGUUUCCGCCCCUUAGUGCUGCAGCUAACGCAUUAAGCACUCCGCCUGGGGAGUACGGUCGCAAGACUGAAACUCAAAGGAAUUGACGGGGGCCCGCACAAGCGGUGGAGCAUGUGGUUUAAUUCGAAGCAACGCGAAGAACCUUACCAGGUCUUGACAUCCCAUUGACCACUAUGGAGACAUAGUUUUCCCUUCGGGGACAACGGUGACAGGUGGUGCAUGGUUGUCGUCAGCUCGUGUCGUGAGAUGUUGGGUUAAGUCCCGCAACGAGCGCAACCCUUGUUCUUAGUUGCCAUCAUUUAGUUGGGCACUCUAAGGAGACUGCCGGUGACAAACCGGAGGAAGGUGGGGAUGACGUCAAAUCAUCAUGCCCCUUAUGACCUGGGCUACACACGUGCUACAAUGGACGGUACAAACGGUUGCCAACCCGCGAGGGGGAGCUAAUCCGGAUAAAACCGUUCUCAGUUCGGAUUGUAGGCUGCAACUCGCCUACAUGAACG
rnacentral:rRNA from 1 species